rnacentral:rRNA from 1 species
CACGCCGUAAACGAUGAAUACUAGGUGUCGGGCGUCAAAACUCGGUGCCGCAGCUAACGCAUUAAGUAUUCCGCCUGGGGAGUACGCACGCAAGUGUGAAACUCAAAGGAAUUGACGGGGACCCGCACAAGCAGCGGAGCAUGUGGUUUAAUUCGAAGCAACGCGAAGAACCUUACCAGGUCUUGACAUCCUCUUGCAAGCGUCCUAGCCGACGCCCUCCUUCGGGACAAGAGAGACAGGUGG